GAUGAACGCUGGCGGCGUGCCUAAUACAUGCAAGUCGAGCGAAAAGACGAGGAGUUUGCUCCUCUGACGUUAGCGGCGGAGGGGUGAGUAACACGUGGAUACCCUACUUAUCAGACUGGGAUAUCUUCGGGAAACCGGCGCUAAUACCGUAUAAUCUAUUGCACCGCAUGGUGCAAUAGUGAAAGUCGGUUUUGCUGGCACUUCUCGAUGGUUCCGCGCCGCAUUAGCUAGUUGGUACGGUAACGGGUUACGAAGGCGACUAUGCGUAGCCGACCGGACGGAGUGGUCGGCCACACGGGAGCGUAGACACGCUCCAUAGUCCUACGAGAGGCAGCAGUAGGCAACCGGACGCAGUAGGCGAAAGCCUGACGGAGCGACGGCGCGUCAGAUGUGGAGGCCUUGGGAUCGUAAUACUCUGUUACUAGGGGAGAACAAAUUUGUAAGUUACUGUGCACGUCUUGACGGUACCGAAUCAGAAAGCCCCGGCUAACUACGUG
rnacentral:rRNA from 1 species